rnacentral:lncRNA from 1 species
GUGACUUUUGACCCAAAGAUUAAUCCAGGAUCGUUUUUAAUUCUACUGAUUUCACUGAUGAAAGCAGAUAACUCUGUAAAGGGAGGAAAGGCAACGCCGUGGUUAGAUUUGUAUCUAGACGCCCUUGUAAUCCACUUUUCCUGAAGUCCAUAUGGUAGUUUUUCAAUGACAGGGUUUAUUCCGGUCGGUGAAUCAAAAUAAGCUAGCAGACAUCCCAGCUUG